rnacentral:sRNA from 1 species
AUAUUAGGUAUGAUGGCUUCAAGGGCCGUGCGUUGGUGAUAUUUAUUAUUAGAAAUAUCGAAUGUUGCGAUUAUCGAUAAUUCGUCAGCUCUAGUGUUAUGGCCUGAUAUCGAUAACGAUCCAGAGCUUUGAAAUAAAUGAAGUUUGAAUGAGUCGCAUUGGAAACACUACGCGGUGAAGAUGUAGCGCAUAGAUAACUAGUAAAAACUUGAGUAUGUCAACAGAGAUAAAUCCGGUGAUUGGUGAUUUAAAUCAAUAACUUGUUGCUAAAUCAGUAAUAACGGAAGAGUGCAGUUUUUG